rnacentral:rRNA from 7 species
UUAAAUUGAAGAGUUUGAUCAUGGCUCAGAUUGAACGCUGGCGGCAGGCCUAACACAUGCAAGUCGAACGGUAGCACAGAGAGCUUGCUCUCGGGUGA